rnacentral:rRNA from 1 species
GCAGGCCUAACACAUGCAAGUCGAACGGUAACAGGAAGAAGCUUGCUUCUUUGCUGACGAGUGGCGGACGGGUGAGUAAUGUCUGGGAAACUGCCUGAUGGAGGGGGAUAACUACUGGAAACGGUAGCUAAUACCGCAUAACGUCGCAAGACCAAAGAGGGGGACCUUCGGGCCUCUUGCCAUCGGAUGUGCCCAGAUGGGAUUAGCUAGUAGGUGGGGUAACGGCUCACCUAGGCGACGAUCCCUAGCUGGUCUGAGAGGAUGACCAGCCACACUGGAACUGAGACACGGUCCAGACUCCUACGGGAGGCAGCAGUGGGGAAUAUUGCACAAUGGGCGCAAGCCUGAUGCAGCCAUGCCGCGUGUAUGAAGAAGGCCUUCGGGUUGUAAAGUACUUUCAGCGGGGAGGAAGGGAGUAAAGUUAAUACCUUUGCUCAUUGACGUUACCCGCAGAAGAAGCACCGGCUAACUCCGUGCCAGCAGCCGCGGUAAUACGGAGGGUGCAAGCGUUAAUCGGAAUUACUGGGCGUAAAGCGCACGCAGGCGGUUUGUUAAGUCAGAUGUGAAAUCCCCGGGCUCAACCUGGGAACUGCAUCUGAUACUGGCAAGCUUGAGUCUCGUAGAGGGGGGUAGAAUUCCAGGUGUAGCGGUGAAAUGCGUAGAGAUCUGGAGGAAUA